rnacentral:rRNA from 1 species
UAGAGUUUGAUCCGUGGCUCGAGGACGAACGCUGGCGGCGUGCUUAACACAUGCAAGUCGAACGAUGAACUCCAGCUUGCUGGGGGAUUAGUGGCGAACGGGUGAGUAACACGUGAGUAACCUGCCCUUGACUCUGGGAUAAGCGCUGGAAACGGCGUCUAAUACCGGAUACGAGCUUCAGCCGCAUGGCUAGGAGUUGGAAAGAAUUUCGGUCAAGGAUGGACUCGCGGCCUAUCAGCUAGUUGGUGAGGUAAUGGCUCACCAAGGCGACGACGGGUAGCCGGCCUGAGAGGGUGACCGGCCACACUGGGACUGAGACACGGCCCAGACUCCUAGGGGAGGCAGCAGUGGGGAAUAUUGCACAAUGGGCGAAAGCCUGAUGCAGCAACGCCGCGUGAGGGAUGACGGCCUUCGGGUUGUAAACCUCUUUUAGUAGGGAAGAAGCGAAAGUGACGGUACCUGCAGAAAAAGCACCGGCUAACUACGUG